UACGGAGGAUGCAAGCGUUGUCCGGAAUCAUUGGGCGUAAAGGGCGCGUAGGUGGCCCGGUCAGCGUGCGGUGAAAGCUCGGGGCUCAACCCCGAGUCGGCCGUGCGAACUGCUGGGCUUGAGCACUGUAGAGGCAGGCGGAAUUCCGGGUGUAGCGGUGGAAUGCGUAGAGAUCCGGAAGAACACCGGUGGCGAAGGCGGCCUGCUGGGCAGUGGCUGACACUGAGGCGCGACAGCGUGGGGAGCAAACAGG
rnacentral:rRNA from 1 species